GCGCCCGUGGUCUAACGGAUAAGGCAUCCGCCUUCUAAGCGGAACGAUGGGGGUUCGAUUCCCUCCGGGCGCGCCA
rnacentral:tRNA from 1 species